rnacentral:rRNA from 1 species
GGACCAUCAUGUCGGUCGUGCCUCGGUACGUACUGGUAUUGUUGGUUUCUCCCUUCUGACGAACCAUGAUGUCAUUUAUUUGGUGUUGUGGGGAAUCAGGACUGUUACUUUGAAAAAAUUAGAGUGUUUAAAGCAGGCUCACGCUUGAAUACAUUAGCAUGGAAUAAUGAAAUAGGACGUUUGAUUCUAUUUUGUUGGUUUCUAGGAUCGACGUAAUGAUUAAUAGGGAUAGUUGGGGGCAUUAGUAUUCAAUUGUCAGAGGUGAAAUUCUUGGAUUUAUUGAAGACUAACUACUGCGAAAGCAUUUGCCAAGGAUGUUUUCAUUAAUCAAGAACGAAAGUUAGGGGAUCGAAGACGAUCAGAUACCGUCGUAGUCUUAACCAUAAACUAUGCCGACUAGGGAUCGGAUGAUGUUAAUUUUUUAAUGACUCAUUCGGCGCCUUACGGGAAACCAAAGUGUUUGGGUUCCGGGGGGAGUAUGGUCGCAAGGCUGAAACUUAAAGGAAUUGACGGAAGGGCACCACCAGGGGUGGAGCCUGCGGCUUAAUUUGACUCAACACGGGGAAACUCACCAGGUCCAGACAUAGUAAGGAUUGACAGAUUGAGAGC